rnacentral:rRNA from 1 species
UACGUAGGGACCAAGCGUUGUUCGGAUUUACUGGGCGUAAAGGGCGCGUAGGCGGCGUGGUAAGUCACUUGUGAAAUCUCUGAGCUUAACUCAGAACGGCCAAGUGAUACUGCUGUGCUAGAGUGCAGAAGGGGCAAUCGGAAUUCUUGGUGUAGCGGUGAAAUGCGUAGAUAUCAAGAGGAACACCUGAGGUGAAGACGGGUUGCUGGGCUGACACUGACGCUGAUGCGCGAAAGCCAGGGAGCAAACGGG